rnacentral:rRNA from 1 species
GAUCCUGGCUCAGGAUGAACGCUGGCGGCGUGCUUAAUACAUGCAAGUCGAACGAAGCACCUUGGACAGAAUCCUUCGGGAGGAAGACCAUUGUGACUGAGUGGCGGACGGGUGAGUAACGCGUGGGUAACCUGCCUUGUACAGGGGGAUAACAGUUGGAAACGGAACUGCUAAUACCGCAUAAGCGCACAGUACCGCCAUGGUACGGUGUGAAAACUACCGGUGGUACAAGAUGGACCGCGUCUGAUUAG